CACGUGGAGAAAAUAGUCCUUACAAGUAGAAAAAACAGGGGGAAUAGAAAAACUGGAUCAGAAUAGAUUGGAGUAUAUAAAUAUCUAAAAAAAAUAUUGUUUAUUAGAUUAUAAAAAAUUAUACAGGUCAAAAAUCUGCAUUUAAACCAUUGGAGUAGAGGGUAUCUAAAUAGUAUACCCAUUCCAUCUCUUUUUGACCAAGUUUAUUAAUAAUAUUACCACCUCUCCAGUGGUGGGUAAGUUUUGCAAUACCCAUACAUUUUAGGUUACUGGGAUCCUUUAUUAUGGGAAAGAAAUUGAGAGGAAACUAAAUGAUUUUUAAAACCAAUUUCUAUAUUACGGCAGUGUUCUCUAAUUCUUGUUUUCAACUGUCUUAUUAUUCUUCCUAAAUAUUG